UCAGGACGAACGCUGGCGGCGUGCUUAACACAUGCAAGUCGAGCGGAAAGGCCUUUCGGGGUACUCGAGCGGCGAACGGGUGAGUAACACGUGAGUAACCUGCCCCUGGCUUUGGGAUAACCAUCGGAAACGGUGGCUAAUACCGAAUAUUCACUUCUUCCCGCAUGGGUUUUUGUGGAAAGUUUUUCGGCUGGGGAUGGGCUCGCGGCCUAUCAGCUUGUUGGUGGGGUGAUGGCCUACCAAGGCUUUGACGGGUAGCCGGCCUGAGAGGGCGACCGGCCACACUGGGACUGAGACACGGCCCAGACUCCUACGGGAGGCAGCAGUGGGGAAUAUUGCACAAUGGGCGGAAGCCUGAUGCAGCGACGCCGCGUGAGGGAUGACGGCCUUCGGGUUGUAAACCUCUUUCAGCAGGGACGAAGCGAAAGUGACGGUACCUGCAGAAGAAGCGCCGGCCAACUACGUGCCAGCAGCCGCGGUAAGACGUAGGGCGCGAGCGUUGUCCGGAUUUAUUGGGCGUAAAGAGCUCGUAGGCGGCUUGUUGCGUCGUCCGUGAAAACCUGGGGCUCAACUCCAGGCUUGCGGUCGAUACGGGCAGGCUAGAGUUCGGUAGGGGAGACUGGAAUUCCUGGUGUAGCGGUGAAAUGCGCAGAUAUCAGGAGGAACACCGGUGGCGAAGGCGGGUCUCUGGGCCGAUAC
rnacentral:rRNA from 1 species